rnacentral:rRNA from 1 species
AACGAACGCUGGCGGCAUGCCUAACACAUGCAAGUCGAACGAGACCUUCGGGUCUAGUGGCGCACGGGUGCGUAACGCGUGGGAACCUGCCCUUAGGUUCGGAAUAACUCCCCGAAAGGGGUGCUAAUACCGGAUAAUGUCUUCGGACCAAAGAUUUAUCGCCUUUGGAUGGGCCCGCGUUGGAUUAGCUAGUUGGUAGGGUAAAAGCCUACCAAGGCGACGAUCCAUAGCUGGUCUGGGAGGAUGAUCAGCCACACUGGGACUGAGACACGGCCCAGACUCCUACGGGAGGCAGCAGUGGGGAAUAGUGGACAAUGGGCGAAAGCCUGAUCCAGCAAUGCCGCGUGAGUGAUGAAGGCCUUAGGGUUGUAAAGCUCUUUUACCCGGGAUGAUAAUGACAGUACCGGGAGAAUAAGCGCCGGCUAACUCCGUG